GGAGGCGACCCCCAAGCUGACACAAGCAGCCAGCAGUACAAAAACUAUGUGAGGGGGAUUGAGAUAGGAUCCAGUGGGACUUUGAUUUAUUACGUCUCAUUCACUCUCUUCAACAGUUGCCAGGAAAUUAUGCUUGCGAGAAUCGGCUGGAGAACGGAGCUGUUUGCAACAUGUGCUGCAUACUUCGUGUGCAAUCUGUUGUGUGGUCUCACGUCAUCGCUUUGGACUUUCUACCUGACGGCUGUUUGUGAUGGUAUUUUUAGAACAGUCGUUCUCACUGUGCCUUUUAUACUAGCCAAUCAAACAGCUGUGGUACAGGUUUGCAUAACAGCUGCUGGACUCAGUGACGUCAGACAAACUCGAGCCCGGCAUUCGAAAUUAAGACUUUUGAGUUAGCAGCCGAACGCUCUACCGCCCAACCAGAGUUUCUUCCAGGCAUCUCUUCGGGUCAGGUGACCGGAACACAGGGCGCGUCAUGUCAGCCGUCGCCUCCAUGUUACCCGCGGCCUUCAUCGUCACCACCGCCGUCAUGGGACCCCUGAUUGACGUCACAGGCAGCCCGGCCACCCCCGUCUACUACACGGCUGUCACGUGUUUGCUGGGGUUGGCGGUAAUCCUCCGCUUUAAUUAAAUCUGAUGCUUAAAUGACAUCGUGGAUUAAACCAUAAACAUCAGUCUUCUGUUGAUUCAUUUAAAACAGUU